UAACUUGCAAUGGACUUGAGAAGGAAGAAAAACGUUUGAUCUUGUGUUUACAUAAAUAGUUUGAACAUGAGUAACUUGAAAUGGACUUGAGAAGGAAGAAGAACGUUUGUACUUGUGAACUAGAGAUGGACUUGAGAAGGAAAAAUAAAGUCUGAUCUUGUGAACUUGUCAAUACAUUUUCAUUUAUACAAGUUUCAUAACAACAAAGUCCGUGACAUUACAAAACAAGAGAGUAAAAGACAAGUGACAUGAGAAUACAAGACAAUCUGUGACAUUAGAAUACAAGACAUGUGACAAGAGAGUACAGAUGCCUACACGGAUGCUCCCAAAACUUGUGUGUUGCAAGAGUCAAAUUCGUACAAGAGAGUCUGUGACAAGAGAGUUGCAAGAGAGUCCAAACCUGAAACAAACAAUAACAUGAAUCAAU
rnacentral:lncRNA from 1 species